GAAGGAGCCUGAGAAACGGCUACCACAUCUAAGGAAGGCAGCAGGCGCGUAAAUUACCCACUCCCAGUUCGGGGAGGUAGUGACGAAAAAUAACAAUACAGGACUCAUAUCCGAGGCCCUGUAAUUGGAAUGAGUACACUUUAAAUCCUUUAACAAGGACCAAUUGGAGGGCAAGUCUGGUGCCAGCAGCCGCGGUAAUUCCAGCUCCAAUAGCGUAUAUUAAAGUUGUUGCGGUUAAAACGUUCGUAGUUGAAUGUGUGCUUCAUACGGGUAGUACAACUACAAUUGUGGAUUGUACAUUACCUUAUGUAUGCAAGCGUAUUACCGGUGGAGUUCUAAUAUAUAAUGUUACUUGUAUCAUUAUGUAUACCUCCUAUUUAAACCUGCUUCAGUGCUCUUUACCGAGUGCUGUUGUGGGCCGGUACAAUUACUUUGAACAAAUUAGAGUGCUUAAAGCAGGCUCCAAAUGCCUGAAUAUUUUUUGCAUGGAAUAAUGAAAUAAGAUCUCUGAUAUACUUUCAUUGGUUUUUAUAUCAAGAGGUAAUGAUUAAUAGAAGCAGUUUGGGGGCAUUAGUAUUACGACGCGAGAGGUGAAAUUCUUGGACCGUCGUAAGACUAACUUAAGCGAAAGCAUUUGCCAAAGAUGUUUUCAUUAAUCAAGAACGAAAGUUAGAGGUCA
rnacentral:rRNA from 1 species